rnacentral:rRNA from 1 species
CAGGAUAGGUGGGAGGCAGUGAAAAUAGUCUUGCGGGAUUAUUAGAGCCAACGGUGAGAUACCACUCUAGUAAAGAUAAAAUUCUAACUCUAUACCGUUAUCCGGAUAGAGAACAGUUUCAAGUGGGCAGCUUGACUGGGGCGGUCGCCUCCUAAAAGGUAACGGAGGCGUGCAAAGGUUCCCUCAGGCUGGUUGGACAUCGGUCGAAGAGUGUAAAGGCAUAAGGGAGCUUGACUGCGAGACCCACAAGUCGAGCAGAGACGAAAGUCGGCCUUAGUGAUCCGACGGUUCCGAGUGGAAGGGCCGUCGCUCAACGGAUAAAAGUUACUCUAGGGAUAACA